rnacentral:rRNA from 1 species
UGGGGAAUAUUGCGCAAUGGGGGAAACCCUGACGCAGCAACGCCGCGUGAAGGAUGAAGGUUUUCGGAUCGUAAACUUCUUUGAUGGGGGACGAAAAAAAUGACGGUACCCCAAAAACAAGCCACGGCUAACUACGUGCCAGCAGCCGCGGUAAUACGUAGGUGGCGAGCGUUGUCCGGAUUUACUGGGUGUAAAGGGCGUGUAGGCGGGACUGUAAGUCAGAUGUGAAAUUCCGGGGCUCAACCCCGGCGCUGCAUCUGAAACUAUAGUUCUUGAGUGCUGGAGAGGAAAGCGGAAUUCCUAGUGUAGCGGUGAAAUGCGUAGAUAUUAGGAGGAACACCAGUGGCGAAGGCGGCUUUCUGGACAGUAACUGACGCUGAGGCGCGAAAGCGUGGGGAGCAAACA